rnacentral:rRNA from 1 species
GACGAACGCUGGCGGCGUGCCUAAUACAUGCAAGUUGAGCGCUGAAGGUUGGUACUUGUACCAACUGGAUGAGCAGCGAACGGGUGAGUAACGCGUGGGGAAUCUGCCUUUGAGCGGGGGACAACAUCUGGAAACGAAUGCUAAUACCGCAUAAAAACUUUAAACACAAGUUUUAAGUUUGAAAGAUGCAAUUGCAUCACUCAAAGAUGAUCCCGCGUUGUAUUAGCUAGUUGGUGAGGUAAAGGCUCAACAAGGCGAUGAUACAUAGCCGACCUGAGAGGGUGGUCGGCCACAUUGGGACUGAGACACGGCCCAAACUCCUACGGGAGGCAGCAGUAGGGAAUCUUCGGCAAUGGACGAAAGUCUGACCGAGCAACGCCGCGUGAGUGAAGAAGGUUUUCGGAUCGUAAAACUCUGUUGGUAGAGAAGAACGUUAGUGAGAGUGGAAAGCUCAUCAAGUGACGGUAACUACCCAGAAAGGGACGGCUAACUACGUG